rnacentral:misc_RNA from 1 species
ACUGAUUCUUUUAUUGCUGAUUUUGUAAUGAAAGGAAAAAAUACCAAAGCGAUUAUUUUCAUUGAUAAGGUUUUAGUGCAGUCAGUUAUGUCAAUAAUUAAUGACAAACUAACCAUUUUUGUGGAUGGAACAUUUAAGACAGUUCCUCAAAUUCAAGAAAAUAAUUGUCAAUUGUGGACAAUUAUAAUUAGAUAUGAUAAUAAGACAUUUCCAAUUGUUUACACUAUAAUGGAAGGACGCACUUUUGAUGAUUAUUUAAAUGUUUUACAGAAAGUCAUCCACGUAAUUAAAUUAGCACCAGAAAUUAUAAUAUCAGAUUUUGAAAAAGCCGAGCGAAAGGCAUUACAAACGAUUUUUCCCAGAGCUAAAGUCAUUGGCUGCUUCUUUCAUUAUAGUCAGGCCUUAAUACAUAAUGCUAAGAAGCACAACAUCCUAAAAGGCGACAAAAAGGAAUCAGUUACACAGAACGAACAAUAUUUCUGACAGGCACAACCGAGAAUUACGAGAAAGCCUAAAGCAACAUUCAUAAAUAGUUGAAUUUUUAGCUAAUCUAAUUGAACACCAAAAAGACAUUCGAAGUAAACUGAAACAUCCAAACUUCUGGGCGAGAUCAGAGCAUUAUAUAUUAAAACAGAGGGAAAAUGAAAUUCAAACAAUUUGGUAUAAAAUCCAAGA